GCCCUCGUGGUGUAGUGGUCAGCACGCUCGUCGCGUAGAGGUCCGUGGUUCGAUUCCCGGCGAAGGCG
rnacentral:tRNA from 1 species